UUUUGAUAUCUUUUAGUCCCUUCUUUAAUGCAUUCUUCCUUUUCUAAUUCAUUUCUUCCACUUAAAGGAUUGGGCUUUUUGAAGUAAGGCAAUUUUAAAAAUCAUACAUUUUUUAUAACAUUUAUAACUCUUGGUGUUGAGCUGUCUCUUGAUAAUUUUUUUCUUUGGGGAAAAAACCCAAUAUUUGUUAAGCUCCAAUCAUGGGUCAUGAUACUAUUUUCAGAAGAUAUACAAUACAUCCCUGUAUGAGAGCUUGACAAACAGUUUUUUUGACAAUAUUGUUUUGUAUGUUAUUUCUUAUUUUUUAUGAUUCUUUUUCAGGAUUUCAAAGAGGAUACUUAAUAACGGUGUAAAUGGACAGUUGGUAUAAUGUCAAGCGACCUUUUAUUAAAAAAAUUUUUUUGUUCGACUUUAUUCCACUGGUCAUAAAACAUUUUGGUGUAUGGAUUUUGACUUUAAACCUGUUUUUUAAAAAGAUUUUUUUUGUGUUUUUUUUCUAAAAAUUUGGCAGUACGUUUAUUCUCUGAAGCGAGGGUAGUAUUUUUUUAUUUGACUAAAAUGAAACAAACUAGGAUAAGACAUAUUUUAAAAAUAUCAUUUGUUCAUUUUAGUGCUUAGGAUAUUUAGAACCACAAAUUUGGCUCAAAUGUGGCUCAACAAUGCCAAAUGUUCAAGUGUACAGGUUUUUUUUUCCGCGGUACAUUGGUGUUCAGGUGAGUUUUGUUCUUUUUAUUUGCAGAGAUUUAGAUAAUUUUUGUUCUCUCUUUACUAACUUGUGCAUGAAUUAUAAAAAUGUAGAAAAAAGUUAAUGAACAAUUUUAAUGUUAUGCUUCUUUCUUAAAGAACACUGACUUGCCAAUUUGUUUUUGAAAAUUGUGAUUAGCUUUUUAAGUCAGUAUAAUUUGCAAUGUGCACCUAGAUACUAGAUCGUCUUGAGGUCGAUGAACAAACAGGUUCUAAAUAAGUUUUAUGGAUGAUAUUUAACCAGAGCUGGAAACUCUUGCAUUGUGGAUGUCAAGAUCAAUGCUUCUAUUCAAUAUUUUUUUAAUCUGCAGAUUAAUUUCAACAAAAAUGUCCACAGUGGAUAUCAAAAUAAACGAUUAGGAGUAAGGGUAUCCAACACAAAAGUUCCCAGCUAUUAAGUAACAUUUACUGUAAAUGCCAAAAAGUAAUUAAGUCAAACUUUGUGUUCCCUGGUUUAAGAUUUCUAAGUGCAAGCAGGUGCACAUAGUAGGAUAUAUCAUUUAACGUAAAUAUGUAUUUAGAUUUGAGACGCAGUGCUGUCAGUACAGCUUUUGUGCAGGAUAACCAGCUAGUAGUUUAAGAAUGUUGAAACAGAUUUGGAUUGGUUUUUAGUAUUUUCAAGGGCGAUUGUUGACAACAAACAUCAGGCUUAAUUCCAACAUGACAAGUAUUCUACUGCAAAUUUAAAAUCAAAUAACAGCUUGAUGAUUUCAAAAUUAAAGGACUUAAAGAAAUUACUACAUAAGGGUUUACAUUUAGAAUUAUUGUUUUACACACAAUUUAUUUAAGGACACAAUUUUAAAAAUGUACUGCCAAUAUUUAAAAAGUUGCUUGGCCAAGAGGGAAGGAAUCGAUCAGGAAUUGUACACCAUUUUACGCAAUCAUUAGUCUCCAGUAAAAUCAGAUUGAAAGAAGAGAAUGUGCCCCAGCUGAUAAAAUAUGAGCUUGGACUAAGUAAAUAAACAGAGUUAAAGAUUGAAAGAAGAGGAUGUGCCCCAGCUGAUAAAAUAUGAGCUUGAACUAAGUAAAUAAACAGAGUUAAAGUUUGUAAGCCAGUUGGAGUUCCUGUUCAGUCCGAGCUUGUGGUUGGACAUAGAUGAGAAACUGAAGGAACUGGUUAAAACAGUCUUUCAACGCCUGCAUGUUUGGCAUGGCUCAGGAGUGCUGGAAUUAUGACUUGUCACUGGAAGGAUUAAGAUGUACGGGCUUCAG